rnacentral:rRNA from 1 species
UACAGAGGUCCCAAGCGUUGUUCGGAUUCAUUGGGCGUAAAAGCGCGCGUAGGCGGCCCGGUAAGUCCGCUGUGAAAGUCAAAGGCUCAACCUUUGAAUGUCAGCGGAUACUGCCGGGCUAGAGUCCGGAAGAGGCGAGUGGAACUCCUGGUGUAGCGGUGGAAUGCGCAGAUAUCAGGAAGAACACCAACGGCGAAGGCAGCUCGCUGGGACGGAACUGACGCUAAGGCGCGAAAGCGUGGGGAGCGAACAGG